UCAGCCUCGUGCGUGCGCACGCGCGCUGCCCCCGGAGGCGUCUGGGUGUGCGGAGCGCGCGCGCGCGGCUCGGAGGCGCACCUGUGAGGUGUCCCUUGAGGAGAGGGAGGGUGGGUGCGCGGAGCCCGCGGCCUGGGGCACCUCAAUCCCUCACUUGGAAGCGCCCUGCAUCCCAGCACAUCCGGACGAGCAUCCUACUCAGGUGAUGAGGAACCCGUCGCGCACCCAGCGCAGACCGCUGCUGCCGCUGGACGCCUCCAUUGUUUGACCAUAACAAGGGCCGGAUUCUCACCCAGACCUGCAAAGUCAAGAGACACGUCUCUCUCGAAGAUAAGAAAGCUCCUUCCUCAAGAUCAGAAAAGGAGCCUGGAGUGAUACCUAUGUAGGAAAUCCUCAAAAGGAAGGUUGGCGUACCUGGACAUCAAGGAGCUUGCUUCUGGGAAGGCUCCUGUCUGAUGUGUAGGAGGCAGAAUGUCAUACUGACUCUUCAGAAGGAGGCCACAGGGGAUCAAGAGCAACACACAGUAUCUCCUCUUCUACUACAGGGGACACUGUGCAGUCCUUUUCCUAAAAGUGAGAAGUACGAGAUUGUUCUGCAAGAGGAAGAUUCCAGGGGCUUAGAAGUGCAAAAGUUUACCCCUUGGGAACUCCUUGGAAUGUUGACAACUCAGGAUCUAAAAGAAAGUUCUGUGUUAAUGAGUUACAGAAUUCACAUGGAAGUAAAUGUCACUUUAUAAUCAGUAAUAAUCCUGAGUGAGGAGCACUAUGCAGGAAGAAAUCUUCCAUAGAAAGUCAGGCAGGGAAAAGCUUAGGCUAACCGUAAAACUACCAAAUCGAGUGAGCCUGAGAUAAGUGGCCACAAAAUGGCCAAAUAAGAGACUUUAUGAAAUAGCAAUCCUGGAGCUAUAGUAAUUGUAAGGAAAUUUUCUCCUCUAAAUUACGAUACCAAAUAGGAAAAAUGAUCUACAAGUGCCCCAUGUGUAGGGAAUUUUUCUCUGAAAGAGCAGAUCUUUUUAUGCAUCAGAAAAUACACACUGCUGAGAAGCCCCAUAAAUGUGACAAGUGUGAUAAGGGUUUCUUUCAUAUAUCAGAACUUCACAUUCAUUGGAGAGACCACACAGGAGAGAAGGUCUAUAAAUGUGAUGAUUGUGGUAAGGAUUUUAGUACUACAACAAAACUUAAUAGACAUAAGAAAAUCCACACAGUGGAGAAGCCCUAUAAAUGUUAUGAGUGUGGCAAAGCCUUCAAUUGGAGCUCACAUCUUCAGAUUCACAUGAGAGUUCAUACAGGUGAGAAACCCUAUGUCUGUAGUGAGUGUGGAAGGGGCUUUAGUAAUAGCUCAAACCUUUGCAUGCAUCAGAGAGUCCACACCGGAGAGAAACCCUUUAAAUGUGAAGAGUGUGGGAAGGCCUUCAGGCAUACUUCCAGCCUCUGCAUGCAUCAAAGAGUCCACACAGGAGAGAAACCCUAUAAAUGUUAUGAGUGUGGGAAGGCCUUCAGCCAGAGCUCCAGCCUCUGCAUCCAUCAGAGAGUGCACACCGGGGAGAAGCCCUAUAGAUGCUGUGGGUGUGGGAAGGCCUUCAGCCAGAGCUCAAGCCUCUGCAUCCACCAGAGAGUGCACACCGGGGAGAAACCUUUUAAAUGCGAUGAGUGUGGGAAGGCCUUCAGCCAGAGCACCAGCCUCUGCAUCCACCAGAGGGUGCACACAAAGGAGAGAAACCAUCUCAAAAUAUCAGUUAUAUAAAAUGUUUGCUAAGAGUUAAAAAUCUUAAAACCCAUAAGUGCCACUAGGAAGGAAACCCUGUAAAUACCUACAUUGACCCAAGAAAUUUUUACCACAAGCCCCAGCAAAACAUUCUUUCAAAGAGGCAUACGUAAGGUUGAUUUUUUUGAUUCAGGCCAAGUGUGUUCCACAACUUGACUUUGAAUCUGAAAUUCCUCUAAGUGCCCAAGAUGGGCGGUGAGGUCCCAGUGCUGAAUGUGUGUGUCCUGGGAUUCCAGCAUGAUGCCUCAGUAGUUGAAAUACUACACAGGAAACCAUGAUUGUCACCCAGCCUCCCGAGUCACCUUCUGUCUAUGCUUUACCUAAAAGUUACCCCAGGGACUUCCCCUCUGGAAGCUCAUGCCUUUCUUUGAUUCAAGCAUACUGGUUAAUGCAUUUGAAAAUGGAUAGCUCCCACUAAGAUAGUGUUCUGGUAUUUCUGAGGUUACCACUUGGUUGUGCCCCUGCAUAUCUUUCCAUAUGUCCCAUUAUUUCUGAAUCCACUUUACCUAAUGUCCUCAAAAUACCCAUAAAUAUCCACCCCUUCCUAGAUGGCAUAAGUUCCACUUUAGAUUUUAGGUGGCUUGUGAUCCCCUUUAGUCAGCCUGUCAGAAAGAUCAUUGGCAGAAAUACUUGUCCUUGAAUUUUCUUGAACUUUUUAAAAACUUUUGUGGAUUCUGCUAAUCACUGUGUCUCUAUGUUAGACUUAAUUUUCUAGUGGCUACAUCACAUAUUUUUAACUUGAAUUUUUUUGGAAAUAGCCGAAUGUAAAUAGCAGGGAAGGAGAAGCAAGCAAAAUUAGGACUUUUCUCCAUGCAGAACUGCCCUCUUGGGCUCCUUUUGUAACAUAUAGAACUCCUUAUUAGCUAGGGGAGCCCGUGGAAGUGGUAGGUAGGAGGAGUCACUAAUAAUAGUCGCUGUUUCUGUAAUUUUGGGCAAUAACAUGUAGGAGUCCUUGACACCUGUUCAUUGAAGAUUAUCAACUCCUUUUUAGGCAUGAAUGUCUAUGUUAAUCCUUUUUUUUUUCAUUCAUUCAACAAAUAUUUAUUGAACACCUCCUAUGUGCCAGGCACUGUGCUAGGUCCUGGGAAUGCCACUGAGUAAGACAGACAAGGGCCCUACUCUCAUGGAGUUUACUUCUGAUGGAGGAGACAGAUGAUAAGUAAACAAAUAAUGUAGUUUGAGAUAGUGAUUAAGUGCUAUGGAGAAAAUUAGGGUGAUUUCGGGGUGGGGUGGGGUGGGGGUGGGGGCAACAUUAGCUAGUGGUCAGGGACGGCCUUUCUGCUGGGUGGUGGUGGAGUGGAGAGCAAAGACGAGAAGCACCAGCUGGCAGAGUAGAGGUGCUGUGGUGGGGCGGCCCUGACGUGCAUUUGGAAGAGAGGCAGCCAGGAGCUGGAGUGCAGUGAGCAGCAGGGAGGGGAGAGAGACCGAACUGCUCAGUAUCCUGAGAUUUAAAGGCCUUUUUUUUUUUUGGGCUAGAUUGAUACUAAAAACUCAUGUGGAGGGACUCAAGGAAUGUUUAGAAGACCAAAAGUCCCCAAUGACAAGAACAAAAAGCAACUAAUUUUUAACAUUGUUUCUCUUCUCAUUCCUGUUUUUUCAUUGAUUUCCCACAUGUAGUCCUUUUGCUCAGGAAGUCUUUGGGGAAAUUAAGGACCUUUGAAGCUCUGAAAUGGGUGAUCAGGUUAGUGGUGUCUGUCAACUGUCUUAAGAGGCUGGAAAAUGAACUACCCAAAAUAGUCAUUGAAAUACUGAAACAAAGCUUGAUUUUUCUCUUCAUAUUUGAAUUAAUUUCUUCUAUUUGACUGGAAGGGGUUUUUGUAUAACUAAAACCUCAAGGCAUAAAGGGGAUUUUAAAGGAGCACAUAAUUUAGUGGAUGGGCCAUGAAGCCAGAGAUAGGAUUGGGUGGGUAAGUUUGUCACUGUUGGGACAAUAGACCUCUAACCCAGACCUCUCUGUUAACAAGCCUUUGGGAAGUCACUCCUCAGACAUUUCCUCCUCCUCAGAGAGGGGUACCUUCACUAUGUGUUAAAGCCCCUUCCAGGCCUGAAUUUCUUGACGAUUUACUGUAGUGUCUUAUCACUCUUUCAUGUCACAGUAGUGUGGAGCAUUAGAGAAAAGCCUAGACUUUUAGUUGAUAGAGAGCCAGUUGAAAUAUCAUUGAUAGAAUUUUAGUUUUAGGAAAAAUUGGUUUGAUUUCUAGCUUUAUUACUAUUAGGUAUGUGAACUUGGGCAAAUCGCUUAACUUUGAGUCUAGUUUUCUCACAAAAUGAGGAUAUUAGACUAAAUGAUUUCCAAGUUUCCAGCUAGUCCUAGAGUUCUAUAUUUCUACAUAGUUGAAUUAUUUUAUCAUGCUGUUGCUGGGAAUAUGACUAACACUUUUGAAGCUACUAAUUUUAUGUCGAGCUUUAAAUUCCAUAAUUGUUAUCUUUGGAAAAUAUUAUUUGACCUACAGUAUGUCCAAAUCAAUUUAAUAAAAUCACUUUAUAACAGG